UUGGGAUGGUGAUGGAGGUGAAACAAAUGCCUACAAAGGAGAGGUUGGAGAGGAAGAAGUACACAGGUGUUUGAAGGUGUGAUGAGAUGACCUGGAUGAGUGUAGGCAAAUGGCCCAGAUGAUGAGCAGAUUUCCAAACACAUUGAUCAGCGGUUCUAUCACCUUGUCCUUCAAUGCACGUGGUUCUUUUUGACCAGUACUUAGAGAUACUGUUGUGUGAGACUGUGGGGAGCUGGUCGCUGGAUGCUCCACCUGGUGACUCCCUGGAAGAUGUUCUUUAUCUCCCUGCGUUCUGCCCCUCCAUUGGUGUUGAGGCUAGUUAUGCAGAGAUCCACUGCUGACGCCUUUGAUUGAAGAGAGAAAAGUGGCUGUGUGACCAUCGGCAAGUGAGUGGGAGCUCUGAGUCCGCAUGAAGCUGCACGGCAUCCUGCCGGAAACUUGCAGACUGUGGGUCAGAUACACACCAACACUCUUCAUACUGGAGCUCGUUUGCUAUCAAAAUGUGUUUUAAUUCCCACUCUACCAUUUUUGUCUAAGACUGUCAAUCAUGAAUAGAGAAAGAAGAUUCAGUUUUUGUGGACAAAUGAAGUCUGCUGGAGCCUAUUUGUAUUGCCCUUGCUUCCUUGCUUUUACUGAUGAAAGUAGCAUCUGUCAAAGUCAUUUCAACAAAGAUGGCUUCAAAACUUACAUCUGUUUAAAUUAAUGUCGGGGCUGGUUUGCAAAGGAGAUUUUGCUAUGAAAACAAAGACCCAUCUAAAGGGUCUACUUUCACUGUCAGAAAUUUAAAUGCCUUUACAUUUUUAUAGACUUACCUGCCUUUCUUUGGAAGAUGCAAAUGUACGUCCUUUAAUCCCUUCCAUACCCUGGAACAAGUUAACAUGUCUGUAGCUAUAGAAAUUUGUAACUUACUUUAUUUUAUUUUAUUUUCCUGAGGAAGAUUUGCCCUGAGCUAACACCCAUGCCAAUCUCCCUCCAUCUUUUAGUACAUGUGUUGCCAGCAUAGCAUGGCUGCUAACAGAGCAGUGUAGGUCCACACCUGGGAACCAAUUACAGGCCACCAAAGUGGAGCACACUGAACUUAACCACUAGGCCACUGGGGCUGGCCCUGGAACUUAUUUUGUACUUUUCAUGGUUGAAUAGUAACAAAGAAUAUCAUUAGCAUGAUCAUUUUACCCCUGUGUAAACUCCCAACACUCAACAAAAAUAAUAACAGCAAAUAAAGCCAACAGACUUUGCUCACUGGAAUACAGCAGUUACAUGUUUUCUCCCUUUCCUGUUAGUAUUUUACUUUCUUAGAGAAUCGCUAUAAAACAGCUUUCUUUAAGGUGGCUUCAUCAAUGAAAAGCAUCAGUGACAGUUACCUGGCUGGUAGGAGUGUCUUCAAGUCCAUGUGUCAGCCAUAUGAUGAUUUUUUUGUCCCCAAAUGCUUGGCUUUUCCAAUACCGGAAUGAUCAGUGCAUCAUUGGGAAUCCUACACUUCGUUGACUCUGCAUCAUUCUGAGAUGGAUCACCAAUUGCUGGGCCAGCUGAAGAACCAUAUCAACUUACAAUUACUGACUUCACUCUGUGUAACUCACCCUUGGAACACACUGAAUGAGAUCCUGGGAUUGACCCGUUCCCAUCUCAGUACUUGAGAUCUAGGGAACUCACUUUAAGCAAAAUCAGACGUCACUGGCUCUCUCCAUUCUAAGAGACAUUUUGGAGACUUUUGAGUACUAGGAAAAUUUUAGAAUAUACGAGAAUACUGGGUUGACCCCAGGACCUCAGAAAUCUCUUUUACUAACAGGUGUUGGUUUUUCAACAUCAAUUAGUGUUGCUAACAUUCACGUGGGUUGUUCUUUGAUCAGGGACCCCCCCCCCCCCCCCCCCGCCAUGGUAAGUUUAUUAAGUAAAUCUUAUGAAUGGUAUAAAUUCCUCAAGCAUUAAUAAUGGUAUAAACAUUCAAUAAAAUAAGCUUUAAUGAGCCUGCA